rnacentral:rRNA from 1 species
GACGAACGCUGGCGGCGUGCUUAACACAUGCAAGUCGAACGAUGAACCCGGAGCUUGCUCCGGUGGAUUAGUGGCGAACGGGUGAGUAACACGUGAGUAACCUGCCCCGGAGAGCGGGACAACCCGAGGAAACUCGGGCUAAUACCGCAUAAUGCGUCUCCACUUAAGUGGAGCCGCCAAAUGGUAGCUUCGGCCUCCGCUCUGGGAUGGGCCCGCGCCGGAUUAGCUAGUUGGUUGGGGUAACGGCCCACCAAGGCGACGAUCCGUAGCUGGUGUGGAAGGACGAUCAGCCCCACUGGGACUGAGACACGGCCCAUACUCCUACGGGAGGCAGCAGUGGGGAAUCUUGCGCAAUGGGCGAAAGCCUGACGCAGCAACGCCGCGUGAGGGAAGAAGGCCUUCGGGUUGUAAACCUCUUUCAGUAGGGACGAAGCUUCCGAGGUUAAUAGCCUACGGGGUGACGGUACCUACAGAAGAAGCCCCGGCUAACUACGUGCCAGCAGCCGCAGUAA